rnacentral:rRNA from 1 species
CGGGCCUUGUACACACCGCCCGUCAAGCCAUGGAAGCUGGGGGUGCCUGAAGUCCGUAGCCGAAAGGAGCGGCCUAGGGUAAAACCGGUAACUGGGGCUAAGUCGUAACAAGGUAGCCGUACCGGAAGGUGCGGCUGGAAUAUCUCCUUU